rnacentral:piRNA from 1 species
ACAGUAGCAUUGGUGGUUCAGUGGUA